rnacentral:rRNA from 1 species
AACGAACGCUGGCGGCAUGCCUAACACAUGCAAGUCGAACGAGACCUUCGGGUCUAGUGGCGCACGGGUGCGUAACGCGUGGGAACCUGCCCUUAGGUUCGGAAUAACUCCCCGAAAGGGGUGCUAAUACCGGAUAAUGUCUUCGGACCAAAGAUUUAUCGCCUUUGGAUGGGCCCGCGUUGGAUUAGCUAGUUGGUAGGGUAAAAGCCUACCAAGGCGACGAUCCAUAGCUGGUCUGAGAGGAUGAUCAGCCACACUGGGACUGAGACACGGCCCAGACUACUACGGGAGGCAGCAGUGGGGAAUAUUGGACAAUGGGCGAAAGCCUGAUCCAGCAAUGCCGCGUGAGUGAUGAAGGCCUGAGGGUUGUAAAGCUCUUUUACCCGGGAUGAUAAUGACAGUACCGGGAGAAUAAGCUCCGGCUAACUCCGUG